UACGAAGGGGGCUAGCGUUGCUCGGAAUUACUGGGCGUAAAGGGAGCGUAGGCGGGUUAUCAAGUUGGGGGUGAAAGCCCGGGGCUCAACCUCGGAAUUGCCUUCAAAACUGAUAACCUGGAGUAUGGAAGAGGCAAGUGGAACUCCGAGUGUAGAGGUGAAAUUCGUAGAUAUUCGGAAGAACACCAGUGGCGAAGGCGACUUACUGGUCCAUUACUGACGCUGAGGCUCGAAAGCGUGGGGAGCAAACAGG
rnacentral:rRNA from 1 species